rnacentral:rRNA from 1 species
UACAGAGGGGGCGAGCGUUGUUCGGAAUUACUGGGCGUAAAGGGCGCGUAGGCGGCCAACUAAGUCGGACGUGAAAUCCCUCGGCUCAACCGAGGAACUGCGUCCGAUACUGAAAGGCUUGAAUCCGGGAGAGGGAUGUGGAAUUCCAGGUGUAGCGGUGAAAUGCGUAGAUAUCUGGAGGAACACCGGUGGCGAAGGCGGCAUCCUGGACCGGCAUUGACGCUGAGGCGCGAAAGCUAGGGGAGCAAACGGG